rnacentral:rRNA from 1 species
UACGUAGGGGGCAAGCGUUGUCCGGAUUUAUUGGGCGUAAAGAGCUCGUAGGUGGUUCGGUAAGUCGGAUGUGAAAUCUCCAGGCUCAACCUGGAGGGGUCAUUCGAUACUGCCGUGAACUAGAGUCGGUAGGGGAGUGUGGAAUUCCUGGUGGAGCGGUGAAAUGCGCAGAGUAUCGGGAAGAACACCCGUGGCGAAGGCGGCUCUCUGGGACGGUACUGACGCUGAGACGCGAAAGCGUGGGGAGCGAGAGG